GAUUAAGUUAUUAAGGGCGCACGGUGGAUGCCUUGGCACUAGAAGCCGAUGAAGGACGUUACUAACGACGAUAUGCUUUGGGGAGCUGUAAGUAAGCUUUGAUCCAGAGAUUUCCGAAUGGGGAAACCCAGCAUGAGUUAUGUCAUGUUAUCGAUAUGUGAAUACAUAGCAUAUCAGAAGGCACACCCGGAGAACUGAAACAUCUUAGUACCCGGAGGAAGAGAAAGAAAAUUCGAUUCCCUUAGUAGCGGCGAGCGAAACGGGAAGAGCCCAAACCAACAAGCUUGCUUGUUGGGGUUGUAGGACACUCUAUACGGAGUUACAAAGGACGACAUUAGACGAAUCAUCUGGAAAGAUGAAUCAAAGAAGGUAAUAAUCCUGUAGUCGAAAAUGUUGUCUCUCUUGAGUGGAUCCUGAGUACGACGGAGCACGUGAAAUUCCGUCGGAAUCUGGGAGGACCAUCUCCUAAGGCUAAAUACUCUCUAGUGACCGAUAGUGAACCAGUACCGUGAGGGAAAGGUGAAAAGCACCCCGGAAGGGGAGUGAAAUAGAACCUGAAACCGUGUGCUUACAAGUAGUCAGAGCCCGUUAAUGGGUGAUGGCGUGCCUUUUGUAGAAUGAACCGGCGAGUUACGAUUUGAUGCAAGGUUAAGCAGUAAAUGUGGAGCCGUAGCGAAAGCGAGUCUGAAUAGGGCGUUUAGUAUUUGGUCGUAGACCCGAAACCAGGUGAUCUACCCUUGGUCAGGUUGAAGUUCAGGUAACACUGAAUGGAGGACCGAACCGACUUACGUUGAA
rnacentral:rRNA from 1 species